GUGAGCCAUGCCAAUGUGGUUUGGCUGGACUGUGAGUGCUUGAUGCAGUCUGAUAGGAGGAUGGGGGUGGCGCAGAGAACAUUGAAAUCAGAAAGGAUUCUGCUCUGUAGAGACAAAGGAAACACAGAGACAUAGACAUGGAUCUGGGAAAUACACCUUUUGCUACUCGUUCAGUUUUAGCAAGGAGGUUUCUUGCAUGGCUAAGCAAAACUUAAACUUCCUCUGAGAAUUACAGGAAUUACAGGACCUGACAAAGCUAUGAAGAUUAAAACCUAUAGGAAGAAAAUCUGAACCAGAAACAGUAUGGCAGAAUUGGGAUCUGACUCACAGAGGGAAGAACUUAUAAUUCUUCACAGGUCACAUAGAAGCAUGAGAAUUUGGGUUCAAGCAAGUAAAUUCUAAAUCAGAAUCCAUACAUAAAGUGUUUGCAAUGUCCAGUUAUAUCUCCAUGAUAUUUUCUUUGUGGAAGUUGAUUGUUCUUCCUUACAAUAAAUUGCUUGAAUUGUCUGUCUAUUCAUUUAGCUAUUUCUUUUCUUGUCUUUGCGAUAUUUUUUUUUGUAAGUAAAAAAUUUUCAGACUAAAUAACAGGGUGUAAUUUUUUGCUUUGUUUCUCCUAAGUUUUGUCUUGUUUAUGACAUUAAUAAUUUUCUAAAAUCUCU
rnacentral:lncRNA from 1 species